rnacentral:rRNA from 1 species
UACGGGGGGAGCAAGCGUUGUUCGGAUUUACUGGGCGUAAAGGGCGCGUAGGCGGUCAGCACAAGUCAGUUGUGAAAUCUCCGGGCUUAACUCGGAAAGGUCAACUGAUACUGUGCGACUAGAGUGCGGAAGGGGCAACUGGAAUUCUCGGUGUAGCGGUGAAAUGCGUAGAUAUCGAGAGGAACACCUGCGACGAAGGCGGGUUGCUGGGCCGACACUGACGCUGAUGCGCGAAAGCCAGGGGAGCGAACGGG